rnacentral:rRNA from 1 species
UACGUAGGGUGCAAGCGUUGUCCGGAAUUAUUGGGCGUAAAGAGCUUGUAGGCGGUUUGUCGCGUCUGCUGUGAAAUUUCGGGGCUCAACCCCGAACUUGCAGUGGGUACGGGCAGACUAGAGUGUGGUAGGGGAGACUGGAAUUCCUGGUGUAGCAGUGAAAUGCGUAGAUAUCAGGAGGAAUACCCGUGGCGAAGGCGGCUUCCUGGGGCACCACUGACGCUGAGAAGCGAAAGCUAGGGGAGCAAACGGG